AAAACAUCGCCUCUUGACCACUAUAAGAGGUCCAGCCUGCCCAGUGACCAGUUUAACGGCCGCGGUACCCUAACCGUGCGAAGGUAGCAUAAUCACUUGUUUCUUAAAUAGAGACUAGUAUCAACGGCAUCACGAAGACUAUACUGUCUCCCCCCUAAAAUCAAUGAAACUGAUCUCCUCGUGAAGAAGCGAGGAUGUAUAUAUAAGACGAGAAGACCCCAUGGAGCUUUAAACGAACUUCAAUUGUUCCUACCCAUAACAUACAAAUUGAACACCCCUGAUAGUUAGUUUUAGGUUGGGGUGACCGCGGAGUAAAACAAAACCUCCACAAUGAAUGAAAUAAAAUUCUUAUAAAAGAACCACAAUUCUAAUAAUCAAAAAUUUGACAUAAAUUGACCCAAACACUUGAUCAAUGAACCAAGUUACCCUGGGGAUAACAGCGCAAUCCAUUUUAAGAGCCCAUAUCGACAAAUGGGUUUACGACCU
rnacentral:rRNA from 1 species